ensembl:lncRNA
CUGGCCAGAGAGAAGGCUGAGGAGCAGCCAGCAGCCUCUCCAGUUGUGAUGUGGAAUUUGAAAGAGGAUCCUGGGCCAGGGUCCACAGAAUUGCGUGUGUCCUGCACUGGGUCAUGUUAGCACAGCAUGUUUCCUCACUCUCUGGGAACCCAAACAAAGAAGAGACACCCAUGGCAACCUGAUUGCCAAGCUGUGCCUCCCUCUCAGCCCCCCAGAUCUGGUGUCAUCUUUACAGCUUCUGUCCCAUUUCUCUGGACCUGGUUAUUCAGUACAAUGAUGGAAAUUACAGACAAGAAAUGGAGAGAAUGGGGGAAGCCACAAAGAAAGGGAAGGAAGAAAAAGGCCAGGGAGGAGGAAGAUGCGUCUGUGACCAGAGCCCUGAGCCCAGAGUUGGCCCCCAGGAAGGAUGGGGACUGUUUAUUGAGGAUUUGCCAAUGCUGACAAGGAGCUGGAGAUCACCUGAGUAGCUUACCUGGGGGGAAAGCUGAGCAAAUGAAUUGUGAUGCAUUAAAUCCAUGGAACUAUUCUGCAACUACAUACCAAAAUGUGUUUGGUUUUGUCUAUGGAUGAGGAAAGCUAUGAUGCCUCGUCAAGAGAGAAAGGCGAGCCGUGGAUGUGUGUUGAGAGCCCCAAGCCAAAAGGCUGCCUAUGCACGUAUUUGUGAGCAGGAGAGGCGGAAGGUUAUCCUCUUCCUCCUUUAAGAAGAGGGAAAGAAGUGAAAGUGUUAGUCCCUCAGUCAUGUCCCAUGGACUCUUUGCGACCCCAUGGACUGUAGCCCGCCAGGCUCCUCUGUCCAUGGGAUUCUCCAGGCAAGAAAAAUGGAGUGGGGUGCCAUUCCCUUCUCCGGGGAUCUUUUCAAUCCAGGGAUCAAACUCAGGUCUCCUGCAUUGCAGGCUGAUUCUUUACCAUCUGAGCCACCAGGGAAGCAAGGGCAGAUGAAAAGAGGGUGGGAAGAGGUGAUGUUUUUCUUUUGACAUCAUAGUGUCGACACAUGUUGCUUUUGUAAAGUUUGAAGAGAAAUUGAUGAAGAGGGAAAGAAAGAGUUUGUCCGGCAUAAACUGUGAACAGAAGCAGAGGCAUGAUCCAUAUGGACAUGAUACCGGGAGCAAGAUGGGUGACUCCCUCCGUUCUGAGUGUCGGAUGGGGUGGUGAGAUGUGGAGGAAGCAAGCCGCACUGCAGAGCUGACCCUUUGAGAAGAGACUUGUGGUUUCUUGGUGGGGAGGCUGCCUGCUCUGGGGUCAAGGCUCCUCUGUCAGUGGCGAUGACGGGAUACACGGAGCGCCAUACGCCCCCUGGGGAAGGCCAGGC